UACGGGGGGGGCAAGCGUUGUUCGGAAUUACUGGGCGUAAAGGGCGCGUAGGCGGUUCAUUAAGUUGGAUGUGAAAACUCUGGGCUUAACCCAGAGCCUGCAUUCAAAACUGAUGGGCUGGAGUUCUGGAGGGGAUAGCGGAAUUCCUGGUGUAGCGGUGAAAUGCGUAGAUAUCAGGAGGAACACCGGUGGCGAAGGCGGCUAUCUGGACAGAAACUGACGCUGAGGCGCGAAAGCUAGGGGAGCAAACAGG
rnacentral:rRNA from 1 species